AGAGUUUGAUCCCGGCUCAGAAUCAACGCUGGCGGCGCGCUUAACACAUGCAAGUCGAACGAGAAAGGGAGCAAUCCUGAGUAAAGUGGCGUACUGGUGAGUAACACGUGGAUAUCUACCUCCUGGUGGGGAAUAACCUGGGGAAACCUGGGCUAAUACCGCAUAAGUUCGAGAGAAGAAAGGCGCAAGUCGCCGGGAGAGGAGUCCGCGGUCGAUUAGGUAGUUGGCGGGGUAAAAGCCCACCAAGCCAAAGAUCGAUAGCCGGCCUGAGAGGGCACGCGGCCACACUGGCACUGAAACACGGGCCAGACUCCUACGGGAGGCAGCAGUGGGGAAUCUUGCACAAUGGGGGAAACCCUGAUGCAGCGACGCCGCGUGAGCGAUGAAGCCCUUCGGGGUGUAAAGCUCUUUCGGCAGGAACGAUAAUGACGGUACCUGCAGAAGAAGCUGCGGCUAACUACGUGCCAGCAGCCGCGGUAAUACGUAGGCAGCGAGCGUUGUUCGGAAUUACUGGGCGUAAAGAGUGUGUAGGUGGUGUCGUAAGUUUGGUGUGAAAUCUCCCGGCUCAACUGGGAGGGUGCGCCGAAGACUGCGAUGCUGGAGUAUGGGAGAGGAAAGCGGAAUUCCUGGUGUAGCGGUGAAAUGCGUAGAUAUCAGGAGGAACACCUGCGGAGUAGACGGCUUUCUGGACCAUUACUGACACUGAGACACGAAAGCGUGGGUAGCAAACAGGAUUAGAUACCCUGGUAGUCCACGCCCUAAACGAUGCAUACUUGGUGUGAGCCAUUCAGUUGGUUCGUGCCGGAGCUAACGCGUUAAGUAUGCCGCCUGGGGGGUACGGUCGCAAGGCUGAAACUCAAAGGAAUUGACGGGGGCCCGCACAAGCGGUGGAGCAUGUGGUUCAAUUCGACGCAACGCGAAGAACCUUACCUGCGCUCGAACGGCAUUUCAACGUUCAUAGAAAUAUGGAUAUCCCGCAAGGGAGUAUUGUCGAGGUGCUGCAUGGCUGUCGUCAGCUCGUGUCGUGAGAUGUUGGGUUAAGUCCCGCAACGAGCGCAACCCUUGCCCUGUUUUGCCAUCAUUAAGUUGGGAACUAUCAGGGCACCGCCAGCGAUAAGUUGGAGGAAGGUGGGGAUGACGUCAAGUCAUCAUGGCCUUUAUGUCCAGGGCUACACACGUGCUACAAUGGACGGUACAAAGCGCUGCGAAGCCGCGAGGUGGAGCUAAUCGCAAAAAACCGUUCUCAGUUCGGAUUGCAGGCUGCAACUCGCCUGCAUGAAGCUGGAAUCGCUAGUAAUGGCAGAUCAGCAUGCUGCCGUGAAUACGUUCCCGGGCCUUGUACACACCGCCCGUCACAUCACGAAAGUGGGUUGUACUAGAAGUCUGUGCGCUAACCAGCAAUGGAGGCCACGGCCCAAGGUAUGACUCAUGAUUGGGGUGAAGUCGUAACAAGGUA
rnacentral:rRNA from 1 species